UACGAAGGGGGCUAGCGUUGCUCGGAAUCACUGGGCGUAAAGGGUGCGUAGGCGGGUUUUUAAGUCAGGGGUGAAAUCCUGGAGCUCAACUCCAGAACUGCCUUUGAUACUGAAGAUCUUGAGUCCGGGAGAGGUGAGUGGAACUGCGAGUGUAGAGGUGAAAUUCGUAGAUAUUCGCAAGAACACCAGUGGCGAAGGCGGCUCACUGGUCCGGUUCUGACGCUGAGGCGCGAAAGCGUGGGGAGCAAACAGG
rnacentral:rRNA from 1 species